UUUGUAUCAUUAAUACAAGUUUAAAAAACUGAUUCAAAUGACCAAAUUAGUUAAGUAAAGAAUACACAUACUGUGCAGCCAUUUUAAUAAUUUCAGGGUAAAAUUGUUACAGGCCCCGCCCCUCUUUUGGUCGCCCGUUCCCCUGCCAGUGUGUCGCCGGUCUAUGGGGCUCUCUGCAGCUGCUGAUCAGUGGAUUGGUCGCAGCUGCGGGAGUCCCACACCUGUAGCGCAUUUCCAUCUGUUGCUAUAAAGACCGGCUUCACACGGCAGGGGACGGCGUAUCGUACUGUUCAGUUCGUGGACAGGCUCUAGACCGACAAGUCCUGGAAAGCCCACCAGCUGCCGGUGCAGCCUACGUUCUCCCCCCUGCCGUCCUUGAGUGAAGGACUGGACCCCUGCUGCUCUAGCCAAGUAAGGGCAUGGACCCUUCCCCUCUCCCUGGACUGCUCCGGCCAGCCGACGAGGGCCACCCAGACUGCCGAUCUCUGGAGCCUGACCCCAUCCCCUCCAUUCUGCGAAAUUGUUGGCCUUGGAUGAGGAGGUCCAGAUGAUGAUACCACUGCUUUGCAUCUCGCCAGUCCCGUCCUGCAACUCAUCAGCAUCAACGUCCCCCUCCCAGUUCAAAUCCGGAAAAAGGAAGCAGCGUGCAUAUGCUGAGGUUAUAGAGUACAUGGACGGCUCUGAUCAGCAGUACUUUCCAUGAGCUGAAAGGGACACUGACGUGACGUCUGUAUUGCUUGACAAUAUGAAAGACAUGAGGGGACUGAUGGAAAGAAUGGUGACUGUGAUGGAGUACAUGGCUCACAAAUUAGCACAAGAACAUUGUUUAUUUUUUGUGCAUUCUUUUUAUUUGUAAUUGUGUUGUUUUUUGGAAGUUUUCAAUCUGAGUAAAUAUAAGUGUG